CCGAUGUUGCCAAGUACCUUUAUGAGUUAGCUGAGAAUAAUGCCCGAUAGAACAUUAUGCCUGGAAUGGUUUAUGUUUCAAAUGAUUUAUCGCCAUAGGAUGGGACUGCGGCCUAUCAGUUUGUUGGUGAGGUAAUGGCCCACCAAGACUAUUACAGGUACGGGCUCUGAGAGGAGUGGCCCGGAGAUGGGUACUGAGACACGGACCCAGGCCCUAUGGGGCGCAGCAGGCGAGAAAACUUUGCAAUGUGCGAAAGCACGACAAGGUUAAUCCGAGUGGUUUCUGCUAAAGAAACCUUUUGCCAGUCCUAGAAACACUGGUGAAUAAGGGGUGGGCAAGUUCUGGUGUCAGCCGCCGCGGUAAAACCAGCACCUCAAGUGGUCAGGAUGAUUAUUGGGCCUAAAGCAUCCGUAGCUCGUUUUGUAAGUUUUCGGUUAAAUCCAUGCGCUUAACGUAUGGGCUGCCGAGAAUACUGCAUAACUAGGAAGUGGGAGAGGUAGACGGUACUCGGUAGGAAGGGGUAAAAUCCUUUGAUCUAUUGAUGACCACCUGUGGCGAAGGCGGUCUACCAGAACACGUUCGACGGUGAGGGAUGAAAGCUGGGGGAGCAAACCGGAUUAGAUACCCGGGUAGUCCCAGCUGUAAACUAUGCAAACUCAGUGAUGCAUUGGCUUGUGGCCAAUGCAGUGCUGCAGGGAAGCCGUUAAGUUUGCCGCCUGGGAAGUACGUACGCAAGUAUGAAACUUAAAGGAAUUGGCGGGGGAGCAC
rnacentral:rRNA from 1 species